AUUGAACGCUGGCGGCAGGCCUAACACAUGCAAGUCGAACGAGUGGCGGACGGGUGAGUAAUGUCUGGGAAACUGCCCGAUGGAGGGGGAUAACUACUGGAAACGGUAGCUAAUACCGCAUACCAUCGGAUGUGCCCAGAUGGGAUUAGCUAGUAGGUGGGGUAACGGCUCACCAAGGCGACGAUCCCUAGCAGGUCUGACAGGAUGACCAGCCACGCUUGAACUGAGACAAGGGCCGGACUCCUAAGGGAGGCAGCAGUGGGUAAUAUUGCACAAGGGGCGAAAGCCAGGUGCAGCCAUGCCGAGUGUAUGAAGAAGGCCUUCGGGUUGUAAAGUACUUUCAGCGAGGAGGCGUUACUCGCAGAAGAAGCACCGGCUAACUCCGUGCCAGCAGCCGCGGUAAUAC
rnacentral:rRNA from 1 species